AUUCAGAAAUUAUAUUUUAAGUGUUACAUUUUUUUUCACACUCAGAACUGAAAUCAUCAAAUACCAAAACCAUACCAAGUUCAGGAACAUCCUGUGUGUCAAAGCCACAACCUCUUCAGCAAAGCAAACCAAGCUUGAAGAAAGAAAUUAAUCUAUUCCCCAUUAGUCGCAGACGUCUUACACUUUUAGAAAAGCUCCUGGCCAAAGAAAUUCGUCACGAGAGAAAUAUAAUUUUCCAAUGUGUACAUUACAUUGUACAGAAUAAAUUUUUUGAAGAAACAAUGUCAACACCAGAACCUUCCACAAAUUUAUAAGGAUUUAUCUGGUAUUUUGUUUGUGUUGUCAAUCAGUAUAUUUGAUCUUUGGAAAUAAAAUUUGUAGUAAGGUA